rnacentral:tRNA from 1 species
CAUUAGAUGACUGAAAGUAAGUACUGGUCUCUUAAACCACUUUAUAAUAGAUUAACACCUAUUUCUAAUGG